rnacentral:tRNA from 1 species
GGAGCUAUAGCUCAGCGGUCAGAGCGCACGGCUGAUAACCGUGAGGUCCCCAGUUCGAUCCUGGGUAGCUCCACCA